AUCAAAUAUUUCAAAAAGGAGACGGGCGUAUCAUGCACUCAUGGCGUAGCUGUUUAUUUGUUAUGGAAUACUUUUUUCAGCAUUUAUUUUUGUACAAAUAUCGAAACUCACACAUGUUUGUAAUUUAAAUAAUGUGUAAUAAAAUUGAGAAUGGAAAUGAGGAAUAUGUCAAAGAGACAAAAAUCAUAUCUAGUAAAAAUUCAAGGGCAGUUAUGGUAUCAAAGUAGGUCCAAUUGACAUAGUUCUUGUGUUUG
rnacentral:lncRNA from 1 species